AUGUGGAGCGCAUUUCGGGUCGUUUGGACUAGACAGUCAUAAAAAUGUUUAAACAGCAAAACUGUUGCGUUAUGCUGAACGCAAAAAAGUAGUCGACGUUACUCAUUGAAUAAGGAUAGUGUCUAUUGAGCGCUUCCUGUCCAAUGGCUCCUGUUAACUGAUAUUAUAAUCGAUGAUAUAUAUAACUGAUAAUAUAUAUAAGCAGUAUAAACUGCUGUUUUCAACAUAAACAAUGGACAAUAUUCAUGGCUGUCAAAUGAAUACUAUUCAAGUCUGUUUUUUAAGGAGAGAAGUCUGUUUUUUCAGACUUUUUUUUUAUGAGAGAUCACUUGUGUAAAAGCAUACUAUUACCAGAUCUACUAUGCUGAAACACAGUUUUGUAUUAUUUUGUAUCUGAGCCUGUUGAAACUAUUGAAUAAAGAUUUUGAUGAUUAAA